GCCACUGGCGCGCUUGUCUGUUCUCUUCGAGUCUGAUCAGUGUGAGAUUGGUGACCAUGGGCCUCCGCUGCAGGCGUGCUGGAGAUGAAUGGACUGAAGAUGGAACCUAACUUCUGGAUUCUUAACUGCUUAACUUAAUUGCUAGCAAUCAAGUGGAUUUAAGGCUCAUGUUGCCUUUUCCCAAAGGGAAGCUCCUGCUUGAUUAGCAGGUCGCAGUGUCAAGAUUUGCUGUCCAGUUUGUCUUGAACUACACCGUGGCACCUGGUGGUUGUUGGAAGACGCACUAGAAGAGGAUUGCUGACCACGUUCUUGUUGGGUUUGGUGUAAUGCCAGUUGUAAUGAAGUCAGGCUGGUGCUAAUAAAAGCAUUUAAGCUUAA